rnacentral:rRNA from 1 species
GCGACUUAUAUUCUGUAGCAAGGUUAACCGAAUAGGGGAGCCGGAGGGAAACCGAGUCUUAACCGGGCGUUAAGUUGCAGGGUAUAGACCCGAAACCCGGUGAUCUAGCCAUGGGCAGGUUGAAGGUUGGGUAACACUAACUGGAGGACCGAACCGACUAAUGUUGAAAAAUUAGCGGAUGACCUGUGGCUGGGGGUGAAAGGCCAAUCAAACCGGGAGAUAGCUGGUUCUCCCCGAAAGCUAUUUAGGUAGCGCCUCGUGAAUUCAUCUCCGGGGGUAGAGCACUGUUUCGGCUAGGGGGCCAUCCCGGCUUACCAACCCGAUGCAAACUGCGAAUACCGGAGAAUGUUAUCACGGGAGACACACGGCGGGUGCUAACGUCCGUCGUGAAGAGGGAAACAACCCAGACCGCCAGCUAAGGUCCCAAAGUCAUGGUUAAGUGGGAAACGAUGUGGGAAGGCCCAGACAGCCAGGAUGUUGGCUUAGAAGCAGCCAUCAUUUAAAGAAAGCGUAAUAGCUCACUGGUCGAGUCGGCCUGCGCGGAAGAUGUAACGGGGCUAAACCAUGCACCGAAGCUGCGGCAGCGACACUGUGUGUUGUUGGGUAGGGGAGCGUUCUGUAAGCCUGUGAAGGUGUGUCGUGAGGCAUGCUGGAGGUAUCAGAAGUGCGAAUGCUGACAUAAGUAACGAUAAAGCGGGUGAAAAGCCCGCUCGCCGGAAGACCAAGGGUUCCUGUCCAACGUUAAUCGGGGCAGGGUGAGUCGACCCCUAAGGCGAGGCCGAAAGGCGUAGUCGAUGGGAAACGGGUUAAUAUUCCCGUACUUGGUGUUACUGCGAAGGGGGGACGGAGAAGGCUAUGUUGGCCGGGCGACGGUUGUCCCGGUUUAAGCGUGUAGGUGUGUGUUCCAGGUAAAUCCGGUUCACUUUAACACUGAGGCGUGACGACGAGGCACUACGGUGCUGAAGCAACAAAUGCCCUGCUUCCAGGAAAAGCCUCUAAGC